AUUGAGGAGUUGGAAGAGACCUUUAAGACAGCUGGUCAUUAUGCCUACCGGUGUCCGCACUAAGUUCGGUAUCAAUAUGGUGACCUCCUGGGAGCAGGGGGCCAUCAGGUUGCCUAAGGAUGGGAGAACUGGCCCAGGUCAGAAAGGGUGCAGGUCAGAACUCCCAUACUGAUGGCUAGUGGGACUGUGCCUGGACCACAU
ensembl:misc_RNA Metazoa_SRP Metazoan signal recognition particle RNA